rnacentral:misc_RNA from 1 species
UGAGUGGUAUUUGGUUUGUUACGGGUGGUUGGCUCUUUGCUUGCGCAACAACUAUCACCCGGCUUACCUCUUCAGUUGCUUGUCAAUGCUUGUAAAGUAUUGGAUUGAUUGUGGGUUUCUUGUGUUGCAUACCAAAUUGAUGGAAUCGUUUCGUAAAAUAAUAUUUUGUUUUCAUCUUGCGCUGCACAUGUGGUGCGAGAUGAACCUUGAAGCGUUCUUCUUGAUCCACUCUUUKAACGUUGCGUUMCUUUUGUGGCUCAUUUAGAGUUGCUUGGUCUCAUGGAUAUGGAACCUGAKGUGGGCAUGGGAUGUUUAAACAUCCUUUCGUU